rnacentral:rRNA from 1 species
GACGAACCGUCCGAACGUUAUUCGGAAUCACUGGGCUUAAAGGGUGCGUAGGCGGCGCGGAAAGUUGGGUGUGAAAUCCCUCGGCUUAACCGAGGAACGGCGCCCAAAACUACCGUGCUCGAGGGAGAUAGAGGUGAGCGGAACUUAGGGUGGAGCGGUGAAAUGCGUUGAUAUCAAGCGGAACACCGGUGGCGAAGGCGGCCUUCUGGACAGUGACUGACGCUGAGACGCGAAAGCGUGGGGAGCAAACAGG